rnacentral:lncRNA from 1 species
CACAACUAGAUUGACUCAAUCCUCAAGAAUGCCAAAUAAUCGAUGGUUUUGGAUUUAAUCCCCAAUCAAUGAACUAAGCAACCAGAAGUAUAUAAACUAAUGACCUCUUAAUUACACGAAAUAAUGAUCUCACCCAAAUAAUUGUGAACGCCACAAGAAAUAAUGAAUUCCUUGAUAAGUUCAAUUGUUCUAACGAAAACAAGGAUUGGAAGCAAAAUCGCUCAAUGGAUAGAAUCUCUCAAAUUGUCAAAAAGUCCAUUAUAAUGAAAAUAAUGUUCUAUUUAUAUGAAAAUCCUAAAAUCUAAUUAAGAACAGAAAAAAUACGUUCAAAAUAUUAAAAAGAUCAAAAUUCUAGUAAAAAUAGGAAACUCGCGAAAAUUGCAACUUUGGUCCCCAAAUUACUGCUAUGCGACCGUAUAAAAGAAAUCUAUGCAAUUUCAUAGAUCAAACCAUGACUGCAUCCAAAUUCCCUGCACCUCCUCAUGCGACUGCACAGUAUAUGUGCUAUGCAGUCGCAUAGCAUCUUCUUUGGCUCCACAAUCCGAUUGUUUGAAUUAUGUGGCUCCAAAUUAUUUUGGUCAUCAAUCCCUUCAUGUGACUUAUCACUUAACAAAUUAACUUCACUUGCUCAACCCUUAAUGUUUCUUGAAUAUCUCAAAUGUAGCUUUGGCUUCGUCCAAUCAAUCGUCAUAUCUUCAAUAAUUGGUGGCGCAUCCCAAAUCAUAUCAAACUCAUUCAAAUUUCAUCACAUCAUCUAUUGAUAAACAUAUUUGUAAUUAUAUUAUACAUGUAACAUAAUCAUCUAAAUUUUGAUUUGGUUGAAUUUUCGUUAUUUAGGCCUUGUUUCAGCCUCAUUUUUAUCUCAUUAAAAUGAAAAAUAUGAUCGUUAUCCAUCACAUCAAGCCACUAUUUUUGAAUUUCUAUAUCUUGUAUGGAGCCUAUAAAAGCUCUAAAAUUUCAUUCUCAUUCUACAAAUAAUGUGGCUCAAAUGGGCUUUUAGACUUGAAUUUGAAACUUUAAUUUGAAGAAGACUUACUCUUCUUGAAAUUUCCGGACACAAUUUUUUCUUCCCUUUUUACUUUAGACUUUUAUUUGCACAUGAAACCAUGAAUACUUCUUGAUAUGCCCAUGUUUGAAAUAAAAUAAUAUUACACCAUAUUUAAAGUUAUUUUUAUUUUUUAAAUACACAUUCUCUAUCAGUCGAUUUCAAAAUGAAUUCUAACCUAAAAAAAUGGGGCUCAAACAUGGUAGCUUAAUUUUAUUUAUAUGAAUGUGAAUAAGCAGAAAAGGAAAGAACUAGGGUUUGAACUUGGGAUGAAAUUUUUAUCAUAUCAUAGUUUUGUAAAAGUAAAGACGACCCUCCAGUGAUUUGUACCGAGGUAAAUUAUUCGAUCAAGAUGCUAGAAUUCACUUGAACAUAAAAUUCAGUUAUCAGUCCCAAAUAAAUUAAAAUUGAGAGAAAGAUAACAAAUAAAUGCAAAGUUUAGUAGCCAUCAGCAAAAUUAAUCCUUUUCACAAAACUUGAUAAGCUCUAAUAAAUUCUAAAUUUUGUCUAAUUCCUCCAAUUUAAAAACAUCUCAUUACACAAUUCACACCCAAUAUAUGUUAGUUUCUCUUUUCACAAAUCCCCCAAAGGAAAGAUAAACGGAAAUGUUGUUCUCCAACGUCCAAAUACUCCACGGAGGUAGCAAUGGAUAGCGAGAGGAACAAUUCCUUUUAAGGUUCAUUUGAAAAUACCACAUCGUGAUAAAAAGAUUUACAGUGUAGAUCCAAAAUUGAUGAAGUAGAAUUAAGAAAUAAAAUGUAAAGAAGUAGGAUGAAACAACUCAGUCCCUUAGAUGUUCAUAAUGAAUUGCGAUCAUAUUCGCAGAUCAUUACAGGUCUGUAGAGAUCAUCACCGUUGUUCCAUUAACCAUAAUUAUUGUACAAUCAAAUAAAUUUUGUAGCAAGAGCAGCACGCUCAAAUUUAAUAUAGAAAUGUAGAUGCCCCAGCGUACUUCUAAAGCAAUGAAGAGAAAAACACCUUAGGAGACAUGUAGCAAGAGCAGCACGCUCAAUUUUGCUUCAAGGGAACGAGUCGAUCGGAAAUUGAUAUCGAUUCCGCCAACCAGAUAAAGAAGCUUCUUCACAUUUCUUUUUCAAAUCGAGCGAAUAAAUUAACGAAAAGAUAUUACAAAAACGGAGAAACUUAUGGCAAGAUCUGAAAGCCCCUAAACCCUAAUUUUAUGAUGCAAUGGAAGAAAGGAGCCGUCAGGCUCCGAGUAGAUUAGGGGGAGUAACGCAAAGCUUAGUUAUAUAGAGAGGGCAAGGGAAAUCUAACGGCGUCGGUGCUUCCACAGGAGAUUUGUGGCUGAGAUUUAAGAAUGAAGAAUAUGAAUG